ensembl:lncRNA
UUCUUCUUCUUCUUCUUCUUCUUUUGUUUUUGGUCAUUUUCAUGGGCGCCAAUAUUUUGGAGUAGCAUACGUAUGUAGCAUAUAAGCAAUAUAGUGUUGUCUCUGGACUUCACCCCACAUUUUGGCACAAAAAAAAAUAAGACAUUAUAGAUGUGUAUAUAUAUAUAUAUAUCAAUGGAUGGACGGACGGAUGGGCAGACAGACAGAUAAAUGGAUGGACAGAGAUAGACAGACCGACAGGUAGAUAGAUAGAAAGAUGGACGGACAGACAGACAGACAGACAGACAGACAGACAGAUAAAUGGAUGCACAGACAGAUAGACAUAUAGAUAGAUAGAUAGAUAGAUAGAUAGAUAGAUAGAUAGAACAACUGAUAGAUAAUUAUAUUGAUAGACAGACAGACCGACAGAUAGAUAGAUAGAUAGAUAGAACAAUUGAUGGAUAAUUAUAUUGGUAGACAUACAGACUGACAGAUAGAUAGAAAGAUGGACAGACAGAUAGACAGACAUAUAAAUAAAUAAAUAAAUAAAUAAAUAAAUAGAUAGAUAGAACAAUUGAUGGAUAAUUGUAUUGAUAGAUAGACAGGUAAACAAACAAACAAAUAAAUAAAACAACUGACAGAUUAUAUAUAGAUAAAUAAAAGAUAGAUAGAUAGAUAGAUAGAUAGAUGAACUGAUAAAUAAAUGAAUAAAUAAAUAUAGGCAGAUAAAUAAAUAAAUAAAUAAAACAAUUGAUAGAUGGCUAGAUCAUAGAUGAAUGGAUGGAUAAAUAAAUCAAUAGAUAGACAGACUGACAGAUAGAUAGAUAGAAAGAUGGACAGACAGACAGACAGACAUAAAUAAAUAAAUAGAUAGAACAAAAAUAGAUAGAACACUAAAUAAAUAGAUAAAUAAAUAGAUGCACGAACGGAUAAUGAAACAAUGCUUCGUUAACGACGCCGGUCACUCUGCACGAUGCGAGCACGUAUGCUAGCUAUUCACGCUAACAUUGUUUCCGUGUGUAAGGUGAAGAGGGUGUUAUCUUUUGAAGGACGUGUUUACAGCAGGCAGGAAGUGUCUCAGGGAGGGAAAUUAAAAUUCGAGGGGGUUCCUGUUCAUCUCUUCAUGUUAGCGCUGAGCUACACGAGCACAUCCUGCUGCUUCGCUUUUGUAGCAGUCAACCUCCACCAAACAGCCACUAGCGUUUGAACUCGUGGAUUUUACACCUCCACAAUCUUCCUGAUCCAAAGUUGCACAACGGGGGACCUUUUGUUUUCGUCUCCGCGGCUGGGUGAAGCGCACAAAUAUUUCCUCUCAGGUUUAGAUCCCGAAUGAAUUAGAAGCACCGCUCGUGUCUUAAUACGCGUACGUUAAUGAAUCCUGGUUUUCAGCUUGUCUUUGCACCUCUUCACGCUCUUUCUCCAGCAGCCAGCAGAAUAGCAACAGCAUUAAUAGAAACUGUAUUGACAUGUUAACGAGUUAAAGCGUAAUUAAUGUGUGCAUGUGCACACAACCGAAAGCAUCAAUGCCACAUAAUGCUAAUGCCUGAAGCGUGACGUCGCUAAAAAUAUAACCUUUUUUUUUUUUUUUUUUUUUUUCUCACUGGAGCGGCUGUGGUUUUUACUCCACUUUCGUUCCUAUAGCGAUGCAGCUAAUUAUCCUGAUCAACAAGCACACAAAUAUAUCAUUAUUAUCAUUAUAUUUUGAUAUAUAGACUUUUAUUCCUCUUUUACCACAGCAAUUUGCCAGAAAUUAAUCAUUUUAUUAAGCAAAUGAUGUCACAUCCUGUUUUUUUUUUUUUUUUUUGAUGUUCCAUGUAAAAAAAAAUUAGUCCCUGUUUUCACUUACGUUAUAGCAGCUAUAAACAGUUGUCCCCUCCCCGGCCUCUCUUCUUUCUCGAUCUGGAAGGUAAUCUCAUGUUACUGAGAGACCGUGACGCGUACUGUAAACUCGUCUGUCCCGAAGAUGGCGCAAAAGUGUAAAGUUAACACUGUAGACUCCUUCCAUAAAUGUUAAAUAAACAUCUCCUUACAGAAAUGUACUACGAGUAGUCGUAAAGAGACUUCGAGUAUGGAGAGAUCGGUUCUGCGAGAGAUCGGAUCGUUGCUCAUGCGCUGAUAUUCUGAGAGUCUCGGAAGGAAAGAUAAAUCCUCGAGAUUUCGGCAUCGCUACUUCUAUCUGCUCAAAAGCAACGGCGAACUGUUAACUAUUUGUGUCCCUGAUGGAGGUGGAGACGAUGAUCGUUAUCCAGGGGAGUCGCGGACACCGGCGUAAUCACCGCGCCGGAACCCGUCCGGCUCUCUGAAGCGCCCAGGGGUAUCGCGGGAUGGUGCGACGAGAACGAGAAAGAAAUAACACGCUCCGAUUUCAUCACGAAGCUCCGAUUUCAUCACAGUCGCAGCGGUUUCUUCCUUUUUAUUAUUCGUCGAAUCACAAGGAGCCAUCGGUACAGCAUCGGUCUGACUCGGAUGAGUUCCAGAGGUUCAGUUGCGCUCGUAGUGAAGACGUUUGUUGUGUUGGAACUUCAGUGUUAGGCGCUAAUCAGCGUUUUUUUUUUUUUUUUUUUUUUUUUUUACCGUCACGUAAAGAUUAAUGGCUGGAUAUUGUGUAAAUUCUAUAUGAAAUAAUAAAUGAAGAAAAGCUGAAAUGCAACGGGGAGUUUGUUUACGGUCGAUGUCGCACUACUAGCAGGCAGGUGUAUGUUUAUAGCUAUAACUGGAAGCUAUGUUAAAACUUCCCUGCUGAAAAAAAAACAAAAAAAACAAUAGAAACCAUUUUAGAAUUUGUAAUGGUUUUAUAAUGGGAAUUGUAUUGGUUUUAAUGGAAACUGUAAUGGCCGCUGUGGGUAUCUACUGGUAAUUUUGUUGACUUCUACUGGUUUUAUGUUAUAUCUAGUGUAUACCAUUAAGAACCAGUAAUGGUAAGGGUUUUAAUGGUUAGCUGAUGGUUUGUAAUAGUAUCUGUAGUGGAAACCAUUAGAAUUUUUUUGCGAUGGGUCCGAUUUUUUUUUUUUUUUUUAGCAGGCAUUUUAUGUGAUCAGUGCAAGCCGGGCGAGUUAGUUCGCCGGUACGAGCUAGGAAAUCGGAGUGUCGCUAUGGUUACGGUGUGCACAUUGCACGAGCUGCAUUUUUCCCAACGCAAAAAGCCCUCCAAUUUGAGUCCAACGUGAAAGCAGCAGAACUGCCGUACAUACGAAUUAAAGGUGUGUAAAUGUCAUCUUUUGGCUUGACUGGCUCUUCAAGAGCCGGUGGUCUUUCAUGUCAGUGCUAGAAUUCAAAGUAGAGCGCUAGUCUUGUUUCUGUCCUACAUACAGGCAUCCAGACGUUUGCUUUGGCAAAUCCGACGGUGUGACGCGUCCGACUCGAAUGAAAACGUCCCCGCGAUCUCUGCACAUUUCACCAGGCAGCAGUGAGUGUGUAAAUGUAGGGUGUACAAGUGUGUUGAGUCUUUCGCAACGCUUCGUCUACGAGCAACCGAGAGCGGCGCACGGGCUUAUACGGCCAUCUGCUUCCUGUCCCUGCGGAUCUCUGAGAUUUAUGGAACCCCGCCGUUUCCCAUCAUCUCCUGCUCCGUCAUGCAAAAUCACACGUCGGUAUGGAUCGUCUCUUCAUCCGAGUCCUGCGAUCGAGAGUUUCGGUUUGGAGACACUCGGAAGAGACAGGAAGUGGUGGAUGAACAGAACGACGGGGAGGAAAUGAGGUCAGCGCUGCUUUUCAGGAGAGGAGAGUAACACGGGCACAUAAUGGAGCAGCAGCAGCCGUGGGAUGGAAACUCCGCUCCUCGGGGUGCCUCAGGUCCUGUCUCCUGAGACGCAUGCAUCUGCUCCGCUUCCUCCAUCAACAUCGACUGCGUGUGUGUGUGUGUGUGUGUAAGGCGGGCGGCAACAACAAAUGCGCCUGAAAGCCAAACUCUCAGUACUAGCACGUACUAAAUAAUGUAAAAAUGCUGAGCAAACAUUUGUUUCUAGGCCAGCAGUAUGAUGCAUAGCAUGGUGCCGCAAACCGGGUUACGAAUUUAAAACGGCUUGUGGUGAGGAUGAAAGCAAGUGGCGUCUUAUUACGAAGUUCUUCAGACGACUCGUCUACAGAUCUAGGGCAAGGAUCGCCGAACUACGGCCCACUAGCUAGCUUUAACCAGACGUCACGGGCAGUGGUGGCUUAGCGGUUAAGGCUCUGGGUUUCUGAUUGGACGGUCGGGUGUUUAAGCCCCAGCACUGCCGACCUGCUACCGUUGGGCCCUUGAGCGAGGCCCUUAACCCUUUCCGCUCCAGAGACGCUGGGAACAUUUUCCUCCCAACCAACUGCAAAAUAAUUUACCAAACCGUGCUAACUAUUUUACAGCUUAGCAACGUGUUCAGUGUGUUUCCUAAUCCACAGCCCUGCCGUAAAUCUGUAAACCGGCAAACGCACGAUUCCGAUCGGUCAGAAGGUAUCGUUUACUUUGCUAUUAAGAGCAUGUCCGUAUCAAAGCGCUCGUCUUAAUACGUUUAUACAGCGACUUCCCACAGAAACGGAUUAAAAAAAAAUGCUGGUCAUCGUUGAAAUGGCGAAGUUUUCCACCAUUAGGAGAGGUUUAUUCGGUGAGAACAGGAAGUGACUGCUUUAAAUGUAACCAUAAAUGGAUAAAAAAAAAAAAAAAGUUAUCAUAUGUUGUGCUUUAAGGAAUUAAACAAGAUUUUUUUUUGGAUAGUUUUAUCUUCAUAAAUUGUAGGGGUGCAUUGUAGGGGUCUGUGUUAAACAUUUAGUGGAAUCUCAGGAAGGAUACACCUAAAAUACUCUUAAAGGUUCUAGAUUUACUGUGUUUUUUUGUUUUUAAAGGCUAUAUGCAAAAUUUCUUACUUUUCUAGUUUCCACUUUCACAAAAAGGUUUCAAGUAGAACUCCUUUCCGAAAUCUAGAACUCUUAGGCACUUCAGGAACCCUCGAGGAACCGUUGAGGAACCAUUUACUUUUUAUGUAGCUCAAGGCUGAAAUAAUAAUAAUAAUAAUAAUAAUAAUAAUAAUAAUAAUAAGCAUGUUCCACAUAUCAAAAAA